rnacentral:lncRNA from 1 species
AAACAUUAACAAUCAUAAUCAAACAUUAAGCAAGAUCAAUUAAAUUUUAUUGAAGUUAUAAAAGAAACACAAGGAAAUCCUAAAGAAAUAUAAAAGAAUAUUAAUGAAAACUUAGUCAAACCUUAACAAAAAUCUAAUAAAACCUUAAAUACUAACCAAAUCUUAAUCCUAAUCUAACUUUAAUUAAAUCUUAGAUAAAUCCUAAAUCUUAAAUCAAAUCCUAAUCAAACCUUAAUCCCUAAUCAAACCCUAAUCCAAACCCUAAAUCCUAAAUCCUAAACCAAAUCCUAAUCCAAAUUCUAAACCCUAAACCAAACCCUAAUCAAACCUUAAUUCCUAACCAAAUCCUAAUCUAAAUCCUAAAUCCUAAAAAAAACCCUAAUCCAAAUCUUAAACCCUAAACCAACUCCUAAACCCUAAACCAAACCCUAAAUCCUAAAUCAAACCCUAAUCCAAAUCCUAAACCCCAAACCAAAUCCUAACCAAAUCCUAAAUCAAACUCUAAUAAUUCUUAAUUCUUAAUUCUUAACAGAUUUAAACCUCAAUAACUAAUGAAUAAACCGUUGAUCUUAA